rnacentral:rRNA from 1 species
UACGUAGGGGGCAAGCGUUGUCCGGAAUCACUGGGCGUAAAGCGCGCGCAGGCGGCUAUCUACGUCCGGGGUGAAAGCCCAGAGCUCAACUCUGGGACUGCCUUGGAUACGGGAUCGCUUGAGGAUCGGAGAGGCAAGGGGAAUUCCACGUGUAGCGGUGAAAUGCGUAGAGAUGUGGAGGAACACCUGUGGCGAAGGCGCCUUGCUGGCCGAUUUCUGACACUGAGGCGCGAAAGCGUGGGGAGCAAACAGG